CCCCGCCUCUUCCGCUUUCCCCCUCUGCUUCCCACAGCGCUACGCGGUGUGGCCAGAGUCGUCUGUGGGAGUGGCUGUGUGCGAGCGCUCUGGGCUGAGUACCUGCUGGGGGACUUGGGGAGAGUGCUGUGCAGGUUCAGAGGAGUGGCAAGUGCUCUGCAAAUCCAUACAUACAUCCAUACAUCCUGCAGACGUUUUUUGAGCACCUGUUAGUGUCGAGGCACUGUCUUGAGAACGUAAAUACAAAAGGGUGUCCUCCUCUGCCCUAAGGGAGCUCUGCCUAAUAGGGAGACGGCGAGAGCGCGCCUGAAAAGCUACGGGCCGUCAGUACCCGGCGCAGGGGGUGUAGAGAAGGGGACGCAGGGAAGGCGAAGCCGGUACUUUCUCAGGAGACUUCAUAAAGGAGGCAGCCGUUUGGGCCAAGACAAGGAGAGGAUAGCAAUACAGUCAGCUCAAAAGCCACAUUACUGCUUCCCUGGCAGCUGGUUCUGUGGCUAAUGAAAGAUUGAUCUUCAGUUCACAAAAAGCUUUGAAAAGCAACUUCUCAUUACAACAGACUGCCACGAUUGCCACUUGCCUUCAUCACAAACCCCCAUGUGUUGGAAGACCAAGGAAUUUGUGUGCACGGGCCUGAUCUCAAGACCUCAUUCUCUUACCCGAUAACAGGCGAUUCCCACUCCUAGCCAUGUUAGGCAUGAAGGUGACUUCUUACAGGCUUGCAGAUAGAUGAGGCCCAGUCGCAGGAAUAUGAAGUGCAUCUCAGAAGCAUCCACUACAAAACUAAUGGUUCGCUCAUAGCAUGCCUUGGCCUCAGAAUGGUCUCCUCUCAGAAAAUAGAGAUGGCCUUUCAUACCCCAGACAUUGGGGUUCUGAGAAAGUAAACAACAAGUAGUAAAGGGAUGAGGUGAUAUUUAAAAGUACAUUACUGACCUAUGUUUAACUCUGGGAGCACGCAGAAAGAAGCAUUUCACAGCAAUGGGAGGUAUUUUCUAGGUCUGUCCUCGCAUUUCUUUCUUGUAUUCUUCAAAAUCAUUUUGUUUUGGAGUAAAUAUUGAGAAAAACAUUCGGGUAUAACCAAGCAGAAGACAAAAGUCUAAAAAACUUGACAAAGGUAAACACUAUUUCCGAAAGAGCUGUCUUUCUCCUUUUCUCUGCCCUCAGCAAAACUCAUAAUUUACUUAAGAAAAAUGAAUGGAGGAGUAUAUAUAGAUGAGUUUGCUGACAGUAAGUGGCCCCCACCCCUGGUCACCAAAAAUCUACCUAUGACAUGUCACCACUAUUUUUUGAGACCAAAUCUCACUAUGUUGUCCCAGCUGGCCUCCAACUCCUGGUCUUAACUGAUCUUCCUGCCACAGGCUCCCCCAAGUCACUGGGAUCACCAGCAUGUACAACAAUACCUAGCAGGCAUCAUUACCCUUAAUAAAGCCUGCUCACCCCUCUCCCACUCCAGAGCUUCUUGCAAAAGUCAUUACCAGGUAGUCCAGCCGGACUGCUUGUUGAAGGUAUUCCUCUGCCUUGGUAAAGUCCUUCUUCAGAAGGUGUGUCUGGGCCAGCACCAAGUAAUACUCACAGCUGGGACCUCCUUGAGGGCAUAACAGCUCAUGUGCAAGCACUCUGUGCACAUACUGCAAUGAAAUCAGACUAUAAGGAACAUGUAGAUGGCAUUAGUCCCAUAGCUUUCAUGGUUGAAGGAUUCUGUCUCUGAUAAUAACCAAUAAGGAACAUCUUUUAUAGAAUGAAAUGAUUGUCCUCAACUUCAAAGGGUUUGGGAUGAAUUACAAGCAUUCAGUAUCUUUCAUGUUCCAUUAUCAACUACUCACUUAGUCACCAAAUGGAUACAUUUUCAAGUGAAUAAUCUGCAAUAUCACACAAUUGUGGUCUUUAUAGCCGUGAUACUAGAUGAGUUUUAGUAUGUAUUAUGCAGCAAAGGCAAUUCCUCAACCAUCCCAUUUACACACAAAGUAACAUAUUCAGACAGCUGUCACCAAUAAGGAAACUACACUGAGGCAAAUUGUAGACCCUAGAUCUUGAAAACAAAUAUCUGUUUCUGACACACCUUGUAUUUGGAGCUGUUUGCUUUUCACAUUUCAAAGAGUUGCAAAUUUGACAAGUUAGAUGUUAAACAGAAGGGAAACCCUUUUAUUCUCAGUCUAGUCCCAUUCAGCCUAUAAUGUAGUAACCUCCGCUGAUACUUUUACCUUCUUAGGAAAAUACUGGGGAAGGGUAGUGGCUGCAGUUGUUCUCUCUACCUGCCUUCUGGCUCUUGGACCUGGGGGAAUAAUGACUUAUUUAACUGGGAAAAGAGGGAGCUAGUUUCUAUUGUGAAGGGUUAAUGAGCUAAAGGCUCCUGUUUCAUGCAACCCAAUCCCACCCAGUUCAUAAUUCUUGCCCUUUCUUGAGCUUGCCAGCCCCUAAGUGGGGCUUGUGCUCUGCAGGAUCAGGGUCAACUCCCUUCACUCCUGGAUCUUGCUGUCUUUCAUACUGCUUGCUCAUGGAUAUGCUUCUUGUUUGACAUGUGAUAGGGUAUACCUCACAGGAUGUGCUUCUUUUGUGGGAGGAGGCUGCAAUUUUCCAGCUGCUCCACCUGUGACUGCAUGGGUUGGAUUGUUUGGGGUCAACACUUGAAUCCUGAAAUUGUGUAGACAAUAUGGGUUCUCCUGACUCAGAUGGCAGUUGAGAAGAUUCUUCAAGAAAUUCAUCUAGAAUGGAUAAUGCAGCUCCUGCUCCUAUAGAUCACAUUUUGAUUUAAAAAGCACUUCCUAUCUUGGGUAUUAAAAGGUUAUUACAGGGCUGGGGAGAUAGCUCAGUCGGUAGAAUGCUUGCGUUGUAAGCACAAGUCCCUGGGUUCAAUCCCCAGCACCACACACACACACAAAAAAAAGGUUAUUAGAGAAGAUAAAAUAACAUGCAAAACAUAUUCCCUAAAUGCUGCAUGGACAGACUUUGAUAGACUUGUUUACAUUUCUGAGUAAUUUAAAGAGACAGUCUAAACUGAUAGCACAACUUUUGUCACUGUGAUCACACCCCACCCCUAUACAACCUUGCUACAAAGUCCAAAUCAUGAUGAUAUCAAAUGGAUUGUGAUUAUAAAAGUUACAUAAUCCAGAACCUCAAAAAUCCAGAUGAGAAGACAAAUACUUUUUGAUAACAUUAAAGCCGCCAGAGGACAGAAACUCUAUUCAUCUUAUUUCACUAUUCAAAAAAUAAUAAUAAUCACAGAGUAGCUAUAUUUGAACAUGUCUAUGCCAGAUAUUAUGCUAAGGUCAUUGGGAGCAUACCCUCAAAGGGGGCCAACACAGACAAUCCAGAUUAAUCUCCCUGUUUUAAAAUCUAACUUCAUUACACCUGAAAAGUCCCCUUUGCCAUAUAACAGUCACAGAUCCCAGGGAUUAUAAAAGGGACAUCUUUGAGGAGCCACUAAUCAGUUUACUAUAGUAAUUACUUAUGUGAUAGGAUUUAAAUCUGCCAUUUCAUUGUUUGUUUUCAGUUUGUCUUCUCUGCUUCUUAUUCUUUUUUUCCCCUUCUUCUGUAGGAUAUGUGAACAUUCUUUAGUAUUCCAUUUUGACUUACCUGUAGUAUAUUAUAGUAUAUUUGUUUGACUGGGUUGCUCUAAGACAGAAAUAUACAAGCUAUGGCCUAAUGGUCACAUCUGGCUUGCCUUUUAUGGGUGGGAAUUGGGGGGUACCAGGUGAAGGACAUGGAAAAUGAAAACCCCCAAGACAGUGUGACCGAGGAGGAGGGAGGGAGCAAAACAUUGAUCCUUACCCCCAGUAAAUUCCUUCCCAGUGACAAGACAAUCCCUGAGAAGGAGGUGAAUGCCAAUCCUAAAAUGGCAGUCCCUGGGAGGAAGACAAAUAUUGAUCCUUUCCCAGCAAAUUCUUUCCCAGUACAGCAGACCCUGGAGGAAGAAGCUAAACAUUAAUCCUUUCCCAGUGAUAGUACAAUGACCCCCAAAGGAAAAGGAUAAACACUGGACCCUCCAUCCUUGCUCAGUAAAAACAAGUUUCAAAUUCUCACAACCUGUUUCCUGAGUGCCCAAAGUGACACGUUCUGUCAAUAAUUAAGUCACCUCUCAGUGUAACUUAUAAAAACCCAGGCUCCUCUUGUAAACAGUGGCCAUUUUCUACCCAGAAAAUGAGCCCCUCCAGUGCCUGACUUGGCUGCUAAAUAAAAGGCAUAGCUGAUCCAUGAAGUCUGCUCCUAUUCCAGUUAUUUGUGCUUUCCUUAUGGUGCUAAAACUGUUUGGGUUAUUUUUGCUUAUACCGGGGAUUGAACACAGGGGCACUUAACCCUAAGCCACAUACCUAUCCCUUUUUAUUUUUAUUUAUGUGUAUAUUUAUUUUUUUAUUACUGGGGAUUGAACCCAGGCACUAAGCCACAGCCCCAAUCCGUUUUUAUUUUUUAUUUUGAUUUAAAAAGCACUUCCUAUCUUGGAAGGUUAUUAAAAGGUUAUUAUAGAAGAUAAAAUUUGUAAAACAUGUGAAACAUAUGAACUUCAUAGACUUGUUUACAUUUCUAAGAUGCUUAAGGCCUUGCUAAAUUAUUGUGGCUGGCUUUGAACUUGGAAUCCUCCUGCCUCAGCCUCCCCAGCCACUGGGAUUACAGGCAUGAGCCACCACACCCAGCCCUUUUUCUUUUUUCUUUUGAGACAGGGUAUUGCUAAGUUAACUAGGGCCUGACUAAGUUGGGGAGGCUGGCUUUGAAUUUGGGAUCCUCCCUCUGCCUCCCAAAUCACUGGAUUACAGGCAAUGCACCACGGCACCAGGCUGGCUUGCCACUUAUAUGUGUAAAUAAAGUUGUUUUGAAACACAGUCAAAUGUUUUUAAAUACAGUGCCUACAUAUUUUCUACAGUUGCUUUUACACUACAGAAGCAGAGUUGAUUACCUAUGACAGAGACUAGGUGACUACUUUCAAAUAGUUGUUUUUUAAAAUGUUUUAUAUGUUUGUGUAGGGGCAUGCUGGAGCUGGAUCCCAAGGCCUUGGACAUGCUAAGCAAGCUCUCUACCACUGAGUUAAACCCCCAUCCCUAAAUAUUUUAUAUCUUAUACUUGUUAUUUCCAAAAGGAUUUGCCAUGCUGCUGCCAUUAUGAUCAAUCUUAAGAAUGACAGAAUGGAAACUGAAUUGUUGGAGGUGGGUAAAUUGGGAACAUAAGAAGUUGAGGCCAAUCACUUGAAACACAUGUACACUAUUCUUCUAGUGAUAAAAUGGGAAAGAAAUUGAGUUACUUUGGAUCACCAACAAAAGAAUAUGUUGGAGAUGGGCUAUGGGUUCAGUUUAAAAAGUUGGAGACUUGCAGUUAGAGUAGAAAGGUCACAUGUUUAUAUUUCCUUAGUCUUUCAAAAUCACAUUAAAAUAAGAAUAAAUUUUUAUUUGCAGAUAAAAAAUAGAAGAGAAAAAGUGAAUACAAGAGGGUAUCAUCAGAUCUUUGAAACUGGAAAAGUAGGUAGGAAGGACUUUUGAGUCUAGUACUGAUUGAUGAAGCAAUUCAGACCACUCUUCCCACUGAGGGUAACCAGAAAAAAGUUAAAUAUAUAUAUUUUUAAAACCUGCUUAAAUGCAUCAGAGAAUUAACCAGAUAGAAUUUUCAAGCUAGGAAAGGAAAUAGGCCCAGGAUUUGGAAGGCCAUCAUUUGGAACUAUAUUUUCUACCAGGAUAUAUAAUGGGUUU